AUCCCAGAAAUCUUGGCUAAGAGAAAUGUCAGUGGUUUUCUUAGAGUUAAAUAGAGAUAUGUAAAGCUACCGCAAUCUCCAGCAUCCCCUUGUUAUCAUGAACAGGACCAUGAUCACCCUCUAAAGAGAGGAUCCUUUUUUUUUCUUUUCCUCUGGUUUGCCAAAGCAUGUUAAUAUCUAGUGUUUUUAUCCCCUUCAAGGAUAUCUCUCUCCCUAGAUCUUUGUCUUACCUUAAUUUCUUCCUUAUACCAGAUGAGAUUAAGCUCAUUUCUCAACUCUCUCGGUCUGUGGUGUUCUUCAGGGAUGAGAGACUGUGUUCCAGCCAUAAUGUCCAGACAAGUGUAUUCGGCCGUGAGAGCCUGGUUGAGUUUCUUUUGUGCAGAUUCAGCAUUAGCAUUCCAUCCUCUAAGAAAUUUCCUCAGCCUUCUAAUCUUGAAUUGCCAGAUUUCCAGAGGGUCAGUGCAGGGGCAAGGCAAAUUCCAGUUUGAAAUCAUCACCUGCCUAAAAUUAUCAAUCUCCAACU
rnacentral:lncRNA from 1 species